UACGAAGGGUGCAAGCGUUAAUCGGAAUUACUGGGCGUAAAGCGUGCGUAGGCGGUUGUUUAAGUCUGCUGUGAAAUCCCCGGGCUCAACCUGGGAAUGGCAGUGGAUACUGGACAGCUAGAGUGUGUCAGAGGAUGGUGGAAUUCCCGGUGUAGCGGUGAAAUGCGUAGAGAUCGGGAGGAACAUCAGUGGCGAAGGCGGCCAUCUGGGUCAACACUGACGCUGAGGCACGAAAGCGUGGGGAGCAAACAGG
rnacentral:rRNA from 1 species